rnacentral:rRNA from 1 species
AUUGAACGCUGGCGGCAGGCCUAACACAUGCAAGUCGAGCGGAUGAAGGGAGCUUGCUCCUGGAUUCAGCGGCGGACGGGUGAGUAAUGCCUAGGAAUCUGCCUGGUAGUGGGGGAUAACGUCCGGAAACGGGCGCUAAUACCGCAUACGUCCUGAGGGAGAAAGUGGGGGAUCUUCGGACCUCACGCUAUCAGAUGAGCCUAGGUCGGAUUAGCUAGUUGGUGGGGUAAAGGCCUACCAAGGCGACGAUCCGUAACUGGUCUGAGAGGAUGAUCAGUCACAUUGGAAAGGAGACCCGGUCCAGACUCCCGGGGGGGGAAGGGGGGGGGAAUAUUGGAAAGGGGGGAAAAGCCUGAUCCAGCCAGGCCGGGGUGUGGAAGAAGGUUUUGGGUUUGAAAAGCCUUUUAGUUUGGGGGGAAGGGCAGUAGUUUAAUACCUUGCUGUUUUGGCUUUCCAAAAAGAAUAAACCCCGGCUAACUUC